CCAGGAAGUUGUGGGGGCAGCAGCAGACGUGCGAGGUGAUUAAUAACAACAUAGAUAACUUCUGCUGAGGAAUUUCACAAGCUGAGCUUUAACAGGCAUUAACUCACUUAAUCCUCGCACCAAGUCUCAGAGGUUUCUAUUGAUCUUUUACUUAAUUUAGAAAGAAGCUUCACUGAUGCAUUACAUUCGUUGCUAUGCAAUGUCAAGGAAUACUAUCAUUAUGAUUAGUACCAUCUGCAACAAAUGAGAGGAAGCAACACACAACAGAGCUGAAGAUUCAGAGCCUCUCUCCCAGCUGACUUGGAUUGUCACCUCCCCGGAUGGUUCCUUCAGCUCUAACAUUUGUAGGAUCAAAGCUGUAACCAUCCAGUCAUCACUCUUCACAUGCAGAGCACACACAUGGGUUUGGAACCAAUUGAGAGAUGCAGCCAAGAAUCAAGCACUUGAAGAUCAAAGUGAUGGCUUUGUAACUGACAAAGCCUGGGUUGGAGAACACAGCUUAGAUAAAGCACAGAAGAUUCAAGCUGCCUCCGGUCUUAAGAAGUUAACAUGGAAUUUGGCUGUUUCAAAAAUUAAAAUCUGCUUACAAAAAUUAGUCUCCA
rnacentral:lncRNA from 1 species